GACGAACGCUGGCGGCGUGCUUAACACAUACAAGUCGAACGGAAAGGCCCUGCUUUUGUGGGGUGCUCGAGUGGCGAACGGGUGAGUAACACGUGAGUAACCUGCCCUUGACUUUGGGAUAACUUCAGGAAACUGGGGCUAAUACCGGAUAGGAGCUCCUGCUGCAUGGUGGGGGUUGGAAAGUUUCGGCGGUUGGGGAUGGACUCGCGGCUUAUCAGCUUGUUGGUGGGGUAGUGGCUUACCAAGGCUUUGACGGGUAGCCGGCCUGAGAGGGUGACCGGCCACAUUGGGACUGAGAUACGGCCCAGACUGCUACGGGAGGCAGCAGUGGGGAAUAUUGCACAAUGGGCGGAAGCCUGAUGCAGCAACGCCGCGUGCGGGAUGACGGCCUUCGGGUUGUAAACCGCUUUCGCCUGUGACGAAGCGUGAGUGACGGUAAUGGGUAAAGAAGCACCGGCUAACUACGUG
rnacentral:rRNA from 1 species